UUCUAGACAUGGAGAUGACUUGAUUGUGACACCGUUUGCUCAGGUGCUUGCCAGUUUACGUACUGUACGGAACAAUUUUGCUGCAUUAACCAACCUUCAGGAUCGAGCACCUAGCAAACGGUCACCAAUGUGUAACCAACCAUCUAUCAACAAAGCAACCAUAACAGGUAAGA